rnacentral:rRNA from 1 species
UACGAAGGGGGCUAGCGUUGCUCGGAAUCACUGGGCGUAAAGGGCGCGUAGGCGGCCAUUCAAGUCAGAGGUGAAAGCCCAAGGCUCAACCUUGGAACUGCCUUUGAUACUGUUUGGCUUGAGACCGGUAGAGGUAAGUGGAACUGCGAGUGUAGAGGUGAAAUUCGUAGAUAUUCGCAAGAACACCAGUGGCGAAGGCGGCUUACUG